AGCAAUCUCGCUUCAGUGAAGUGCAUAUCUUGACUUAACAGUAUGUCAGGGGUCAUAAUCCAGACUGAGGGAUUUGAGUUGGUCAGCAGACUUGGAUGGCUGCAGCUAUUGCGUACCAGAUGUCGUCUUGCCAAGUUGGUAGCUGGCCCAAUUCAGCCCUUUGCCACAGGCCCUUUCCCACUAGACAGCAGGAACCAUUGCAUUAGCUGUAAUUGGAGCUACAAGGAACUGUGCAACAGUAUGAAUAAAUCAGUAAAAACAACUCCAAGAGAGGAUAUACCAAUCCACUUUCUAUGGAUUUUAGUGUAUUGUUAAGGUGAAGAAGUCUUGCGGAUCAUGUAAGACAGAAAUGUUUGUGGAUUAGUCAUGUACUUAGGAAUCAAGAGCUGUCUUUUCCCAGCUGGCAAGGUUGAUGACAUGUAGUCAUUAUGUGUGAAUCACAUGCUCAGCGGACUGGCCUUGUGACUUGAGCUGCUUCGACAGGCCCCACUGCAUCCACUGUCCUCUUCUUCAUGUUCACUGGUCAAGAACAUUGCUCUUGCUCUGUGAAAGUCACAAGCAUGGACUCCUCUGAAAGCCUGGCUGAGCUGACCCUGGACCCUGGGCAUUGUUCACACAGCUUGGUAUUCCCUUCGCAGCAUGCUGCAGCCACUG
ensembl:lncRNA